GCGGAAGUGGCGGAAUUGGCAGACGCGUCAGGUUGAGGGCCUGGUGAGGGCAACCUCGUGGGGGUUCGAGUCCCCCCUUCCGCA
rnacentral:tRNA from 1 species